rnacentral:rRNA from 1 species
CGACACAGGUAGGCAGGGUGAGAAUCCCAAGGCGCUUGAGAGAACUCGGGUGAAGGAACUAGGCAACAUAGCACCGUAACUUCGGGAGAAGGUGCGCCCAGGAGUGUGGCUACAUGCGUAGCUGAGCAUUCUUGGGCCGCAGUGACCAGGCCGCUGCGACUGUUUAUCAAAAACACAGCACUCUGCAAACACGAAAGUGGACGUAUAGGGUGUGACACCUGCCCGGUGCCGGAAGGUUAAUUGAUGGGGUCAGCCGCAAGGCGAAGCUCUUGAUCGAAGCCCCGGUAAACGGCGGCCGUAACAAUAACGGUCCUAAGGUAGCGAAAUUCCUUGUCGGGUAAGUUCCGACCUGCACGAAUGGUGUAACGACAGCGGCGCUGUCUCCACCCGAGACUCAGUGAAAUUGAAAUCGCUGUGAAGAUGCAGCGUUCCCGCGGCAAGACGGAAAGACCCCGUGAACCUUUACUAUAGCUUUACACUGAACGUUGAGUUCUUCUGUGUAGGAUAGGUGGGAGGCUUUGAAGUGCAGGCGCUAGCUUGCAUGGAGCCAUCCUUGAAAUACCACCCUGAAGUGCUUGACGUUCUAACCUAGGUCCGUAAUCCGGAUCGGGGACCGUGUAUGGUGGGUAGUUUGACUGGGGCGGUCUCCUCCCAAAGAGUAACGGAGGAGCACGAAGGUACGCUCAGCGCGGUCGGACAUCGCGCACUGUGUGCAAAGGCAUAAGCGUGCUUGACUGCAAGAUCGACGGAUCAAGCAGGUACGAAAGUAGGUCUUAGUGAUCCGGUGGUUCUGUAUGGAAGGGCCAUCGCUCAACGGAUAAAAGGUACUCCGGGGAUAACAGGCUGAUACUGCCCAAGAGUUCAUAUCGACGGCAGUGUUUGGCACCUCGAUGUCGGCUCAUCACAUCCUGGGGCUGUAGCCGGUCCCAAGGGUAUGGCUGUUCGCCAUUUAAAGUGGUACGCGAGCUGGGUUCAGAACGUCGUGAGACAGUUCGGUCCCUAUCUGUCGUGGGCGUUGGAGAUUUGAGAGGGGCUGCUCCUAGUACGAGAGGACCGGAGUGGACGAACCCCUGGUGUUCCGGUUGUCACGCCAGUGGCACUGCCGGGUAGCUACGUUCGGAAGCGAUAACCGCUGAAAGCAUCUAAGCGGGAAGCGCGCCUCAAGAUGAGAUCUCCCGGGACACAAGUCCCCUAAAGGCCCCAUGAAGACUACGUGGUUGAUAGGUCAGGUGUGUAUCGCAGUAAUGCCGAGCUAACUGAUACUAAUGAGCCGUGCGGCUUGAUCG